rnacentral:rRNA from 1 species
GCUUUUACAUGCAGUCGAGCGGCAGCACGAGAGAGCUUGCUCUCUUGGUGGCGAGUGGCGGACGGGUGAGUAAUAUAUCGGAACGUGCCCAGUAGCGGGGGAUAACUACUCGAAAGAGUGGCUAAUACCGCAUACGCCCUACGGGGGAAAGGGGGGGAUUCUUCGGAACCUCUCACUAUUGGAGCGGCCGAUAUCGGAUUAGCUAGUUGGUGGGGUAAAGGCUCACCAAGGCAACGAUCCGUAGCUGGUUUGAGAGGACGACCAGCCACACUGGGACUGAGACACGGCCCAGACUCCUACGGGAGGCAGCAGUGGGGAAUUUUGGACAAUGGGGGAAACCCUGAUCCAGCCAUCCCGCGUGUAUGAUGAAGGCCUUCGGGUUGUAAAGUACUUUUGGCAGAGAAGAAAAGGUAUCCCCUAAUACGGGAUACUGCUGACGGUAUCUGCAGAAUAAGCACCGGCUAACUACGUGCCAGCAGCCGCGGUAAUACGUAGGGUGCAAGCGUUAAUCGGAAUUACUGGGCGUAAAGCGUGUGUAGGCGGUUCGGAAAGAAAGAUGUGAAAUCCCAGGGCUCAACCUUGGAACUGCAUUUUUAACUGCCGAGCUAGAGUAUGUCAGAGGGGGGUAGAAUUCCACGUGUAGCAGUGAAAUGCGUAGAUAUGUGGAGGAAUACCGAUGGCGAAGGCAGCCCCCUGGGAUAAUACUGACGCUCAGACACGAAAGCGUGGGGAGCAAACAGGAUUAGAUACCCUGGUAGUCCACGCCCUAAACGAUGUCAACUAGCUGUUGGGGCCGUUAGGCCUUACUAGCGCAGCUAACGCGUGAAGUUGACCGCCUGGGGAGUACGGUCGCAAGAUUAAAACUCAAAGGAAUUGACGGGGACCCGCACAGCGGUGGAUGAUGUGGAUUAAUUCGAUGCAACGCGAAAAACCCUUACCUACCCUUGACAUGUCUGGAAUGCCGAAGAGAUUUGGCAGUGCUCGCAAGAACAACCGAAACACAGGUGCUGCAUGGCUGUCCGUCACUUCGUGGUCUUGAGACGUUGAGAUUAAGUCCCGCAACGCACGCGCACCCUUGUCAUUUGUUUUGCUUACGCUAGAACCCCUUCUAUUGAGACUGCCUGAUUGACCAACCGGGAGGCAUGUGCGGGAUGACGUCGAGGUCCUUCAUGCCCC